CAUGCAGGAUUCAACAGGAGCUUGGCAUAAUAUUAAACAGCACAUUCUGAAGCUUGAAGCGCCUGUAAGAGGUAUUAACAAUCUCAUCUAACGCUAGCCAGCGUAAUGCAUCUGGAAUGAGCUCUUAUGGCGCGGUCUCUGGUUACUGAUGAAAAUACCAUACUAUAGCUAAUACUUUUUUGCACAAUGUUGCUAAUGGGCAUGGAGAAGCAGGCUAUACUGAGCUGCCUGCAUUAAACCUGGUUGGAUGGAGACUGAAUCAUUUGUCCAUUCAGAUUGUAAAACAUAGGUCAUUGUUACUAUCCCAUUACACAGUUGUUUGCAGAGUCUCGGAUAUAAGCGGCGUAAAACGCAGAUAGCAUGAAAAACUUAAACAUGUCUCUGUUUCAGCUCAAAGUACUCCACAGAUCGUUUAUUAUAGGAUUUUGAAAAUGUCUAUUUUAAGCGGAAGCAAUGACAUGCUGUUAUCGUGCAUGUCUCUUUAAAUGCAAAUUAGCUGCUGCGCCCCGCCCCCUUCUCCAGAAUAGGGCAGUUCCAUUACGGCUAGUUUUAUAGCUAUCAGUUUAAACUUCUGAUAAAAGGUUUUCUGAGGGCACACAAACCGGAUGUCACAUGGCUUAUGAGUAAAUUAAGUUCACUUUGAUUCAGGUUUAGGUCAUAAACAUGCAUAAGUUGCAAAAACACAGCUGAUUAUGUCUGUGAAGUUAAACGGCUGGAAAAUAAAUCACAUAUUUAUAUUAGAUCUGUGUAUUAAGUGAUUAAAGAGAUGCGGGCGGGUUUUGGAGUUAUAGGGUGGUUGUGUACACACGCUGCAAACACACAUUUAUGUUCAAAUCACAUCUAAAAGUGAAUUUUGCUCUUUAAAACCAUUAAUACUUAGCGUUUAAGCUAAACUGUAAUCCAUAACUUUUUUGUGUUCACAAAUUUACAACAUUAAUAAGCGAGUACACCGUGAAUCCAGUUUCCAAACCAUGAUUUUGGCCUGUCUUGAAUCACUACGUUAAUCCUAUAAUAAGUGUUUAUAUUCGGACUAUUUAGACUGGUUCGGGAAGGUACCGCUGCGGAGUAGCCCGGUACCUCCGUAAAAUCGUCGAUACGUAAACAUAGAAAAGUAGAUCCGGCUAAAACGUCCUUCCGCAACACGCGCGCGGUUCUGUGCUCCGGCUAAAUAGGCGUUUCCGUAAAAGUGCUUGAUGAAUCUUUGAACCAUUUGUGAAUCAUUUGCUUCGAACGGGGGAUUCUGAACACACGGCAAACUGCUAAAGGCGCGUGAUUUAAUAAACGAAGAUUCAGUCAGAACCGUUUUGAAAUGUUUGUCGCUAGGGGCUGCAAACAUGUUUAAAAGCGAUCGAUUCACUAAGUAGUUAGUUGAUGCAAUUGAUUCAAAGUUUCGGAAAGCCGUUAUUUUUCACCCGACUUCCUGUUACAAACGCCGUUGAGAAAAAGAUGGUGAAAAAGCUCCCUAUUUACAACAACGGUAACAUAUCAGGUAACUAGUUUUGGUGUUUUGAAUGUUUUCUAGGGGUAUAUGGUACACUUAUUCAUGCCGAAAUCAACAGAACAAAUAGUGUAAUAUUAACCACUGCACAUGCGGAACAAUUCAUUUCGGUUCAUAUCAGUGUGUGCACUAGGACUUACGUAGUGUUAAAUUUUAAUUUAUUUUUUUGCGUCUGGAGAACUGAACUACUACUUUAGCUAACUAGCUAAAUAGCCAACCUGAGCCCCCCCAACCCCAAAAAAACUAAAAUGACUAAAUGAUAAAAUGACCAAAGCGCACGGAGCAUUGCUAAAAUUACAAUUGAAAUGGAAACUGAGCAUGCAAAUAAAAGCUCGCUUAAAAUAUAGCACGUAAAUAAAUAUUCAUAAAGGCUGGCUGGCACCAGCAGGUUAAUACUAGCCUUAACACGUGCGCUAACAGUCAAAAUAUUACAUUAUGUUAUGCAUGCAUUUACAUCUUCUGCCAGAACCGGGGAAAACAAAGUAUUAGCGCGGCAGAGCCCGUGUGAGCACAAAAUGCAUUUUAAUGAACAUUCACCGAGGAGGCGCGUACUUUAUGCCAACGCCACUGAUGGAUGAGAAACUUCGCCAAAAUGCCAGGUGGAACAACCAGCGGGCUCUCCGAUCAAAGCGCGUGCAUAAUAGGCCGUUUCGAGUUCUGUGCAAACGCUCCGCGCGCUAGCGAAGCAGCGACACGCCAAGCAUUUACAUCUCAAUAAGAAAGCGGCUUCCUAUCGAAUAUGAAACGGUGUCGUCGCCGUAACCCAACCUCGUGCGCGCAAACAAUGCGCGCGGCUCCGAGCGCGGGAGGUCUGGCUUGCUCCGCUGUCACCCGAGUCUCUUCUGCAAGAGUAAUGCAGCUUCUAAUCAGCAUGCCUGCGAGCAGAGAGCUGUGGAAAUAAGGGCCCUUAAAUAGGUAAUAAAUCUUCCUGAUACAGGCCACGGGCAAGCCAGGAAGUGAAAUGUAUUCAUAUUUAUAAGCUCGCGGUGCCGUGGACGAGCUCAAGCCUUCAGUGCGUUUGGCUCUGCUGCUUUUAUUGACGGAACACACCUGACUGUCCUGCAAACAAUGCCUUGCGAUGCACACAGCCUCGUUUUUUGUUUUUUUUUGGGCGGCUUAGUCGUGCCAGGUUCAUUAGUGAUGCUUCCCCGACUGGUCUGAAUGAGAAAUUCACCCUCCAUAUAAUCUACCACCGAGAGCAAAUUCAAAAGGAUUACCUCGCCUGUUUUUCAUUACAAUGAUGAAUCGACUGGAAUGUUUACCUGAUACAAUCAUUUACAAUAAAACACCUUUUUUUUGGUGAUAGAGUAACUCUGAUCCAGAAGCUAAGAUGCUUUUCCCAGUCCGUGAUCAAUUGGGCACUGGAUUUGUUUUAUUAUAUUUUAUUACAGUUUAUGAUAAAACAUCUUAACUAAUCUGUCAUGGCCUGUAACCUUUCCUGAAAUAAAGCGGUGCUAGUUGUUUAGAUCAGGUCAAGUUGAUGGAACAAAGUCAUUUUGAGAACAUGUAUAUUAACUUUGAUUAUAGAUGUGGCUUGUGACAAUAUAUCUCAAAAUUUGAUCAUGACAACCAAGAGUAGUUUAUUCAUUAAAACAAAUUUGGGUAAAGUUAGCAUCGUAGGCUCACCACUGCAGUGAAUGGGUGCCGUCGGAAUGUCCAAACAGCUGAUGAAAACAUCACUCCGGUCCAACAAUUAACAGCUUGUGAAGUGGAAAGCUGUUUAUUCAUGAACAAUAAAUCUUUAAACUUCGCUUCUGGACAAAUCCAGAAUCCAGAAUGAGGCUUCCUCCAGUGAUAAAAGUUCUUUCCCUGUCGUCUUCUUAAAUCAAAAUCAUAUAUCACAAACAACCAUAUCGCAAGCAUACAAACAUAGUACAUCUUGAUGGAUUUUUUUGUUUUGUUUAGAAACACAUGCCUUUUGAUUUUACUAGACUUUAAUGGACUGAAGUGAAAUUAUUGUGAUGUUUUUAUCAGCUUUUUGGACUCUCAUUCCGACGGCACCCAUCCAACUUGACAUUAAAAUCGACAAUUGUGGUCAGAUGGAGUGGGCAUCCCAACAAAGCUUGAAAUGAAGCAAUUCACAUAUGUUUCAGGCCUUAUAAAGAUCAAUCACGUCUCUACAAACUCUUAAAAGUGCAACAUGAUUCUACGCCUUGUAAAAAAAAUAACUUUAAGUCUUGUUAUGGCUUGCUGUAGCUUGAGAGGUAGAAUAUCAGAUACGCUUGGGUUGCUGGUUGCGUCUGGGCUUUUUAAAGUUAACUUUAGCUUACUAAUAAAAAUGCAGAUGGUUCCACCUGCAAGAUUGUUGAAUAAAAUUAUGCAAAAGAUGAAUAUCAAAUUUGUCUUGAAUUGGACCUCGGGAGAUUUCAAAGCAAUCAAGGAACGAAAUGAGGCGAGGAAUUUUUAACAGCCAACAGCUGUAUAUUCAAUUGAUUUAGACGCCGAGAGACAAUGUUCGAAGUGGAAUACUAGCGCACUGCAUACUGUUCAAACUAUUCACAAAGUACGUGAAACUGAGUGCGUCGUAUUUAGGAGAUCUUCCGCUUGUUUUGCAACAAAAAAAUAGUUGAAACUCUAAAAUUGCCGCUAAAUUUAAGUUGAAGGAUUUUGCGGCCAAAAAUUAAAUUUAGCUAAAAAUGUAUUCAACCUCAUGCCGUCCAAAAUGUAGAUGAGUUUGUUUCUUCUUUGCAACGGGUUUCAUUAGAAUUAGAAUCCAAACAGUUGAUAAAAAUAUCACAAUAAUACCAAAGUAUUAAUUUAGCAUCAGUUUAAAAUGAAAAACGCCUCGAUGAUGGAUUUGUUUCUUACACAGUUACACAGUCUUACACUGUUUUACUUCAUAAGACAUUAAUUAAUGAACUGGAGUGCUGUUGAUUACUGUGACUAUUAUGAUGAUGUUUUUUACCAGCUGUUUGGACUCUCAUUCUGACGGCACCCAUUCACUGCAGAGGACCCAUUGGCGCGCAAAUGAUGUAAUGCAUUUCUCCAAAUCUGUUACAAUGAAGAACACACAUCUACUUCUUGGAUGGCCUGAGGUACAUCUGCUGUUAAACAUGAUUUUGAGUGGAUGUCUUCAGCAGCAGUAUAUAUCUCGAUUAACAACCUCACAGCUCACAGCAGCCCCCUGGCGACAUCCCAAGGCCGGAGGAGAAGCAAACCUGUGUGUUUACUGUACAGAGCGGCGAUUCUCUGUGACCGUGGUCUUCCUCUCUGCUGAAUCGGCCCUUUCUCCUCGCAUCACAGCCGUCCAUUCAUCGCUCUGUCGAGACA